rnacentral:piRNA from 1 species
AUGCCAGAGAACACAGGUAUCAAGGUUCGC